GACGAACGCUGGCGGCGUGCCUAAUACAUGCAAGUCGAACGCUGAAGGAGGAGCUUGCUCUUCUGGAUGAGUUGCGAACGGGUGAGUAACGCGUAGGUAACCUGCCUGGUAGCGGGGGAUAACUAUUGGAAACGAUAGCUAAUACCGCAUAAGAGUAGAUGUUGCAUGACAUUUACUUAAAAGGUGCAAUUGCAUCACUACCAGAUGGACCUGCGUUGUAUUAGCUAGUUGGUGGGGUAACGGCUUACCAAGGCGACGAUACAUAGCCGACCUGAGAGGGUGAUCGGCCACACUGGGACUGAGACACGGCCCAGACUCCUACGGGAGGCAGCAGUAGGGAAUCUUCGGCAAUGGACGGAAGUCUGACCGAGCAACGCCGCGUGAGUGAAGAAGGUUUUCGGAUCGUAAAGCUCUGUUGUAAGAGAAGAACGAGUGUGAGAGUGGAAAGUUCACACUGUGACGGUAUCUUACCAGAAAGAGACGGCUAACUACGUG
rnacentral:rRNA from 1 species